UUUAAGUAAAUCAGAUAAAAGUUGCAUGCCGAGGUUGCAAGGAGGCCUCGUAAAACACCUUGCAAACAAUAAGUGCCGAAGACGCACGUCUAAUUGCAGAGGCAAAUAGGAUUGUGGCACCUAUUUUUGGUGCACCUUCCUUUGUCCCUGCAAUGGCACACUAAGUCCUUUCUCCCGGUUUGGAGAAAGGCCUUAAGACUUAAGGUUGCCUAAGGCCUGAGUCUUAAGUCAACUUACUUAGGCCUGCUAAAAGGUUAGGUCUUUACCUUUUAGCAUGUUUUUAAAAAAGACCUCGGUUUAGGUAAUCUCGGUUCCUGAGGAGUACCUAAACUUAAAUAAAAAUCAGGACUAAGCAUGUAGGAACUUUUAUCCGGUUACUUAAGGACGCCGGUUCGAUUCUGGCCACCUCCACCA
rnacentral:tmRNA from 1 species